GGAUGUGAGGGUGAUCUGGCUGUGACAUCUGUCACCCCAUUGAUCCUCAGAGUUGACUCCAUGAUCUGGCUGGCUAGGCAGGUGUCCCCUCCCUCCCUUACCUCUCCUGAAACUGCAUGCUCUGUGGACGAAUCCAACCAUCCCUGAUAGAAGAGGACCAUUCUUUGGUCAAGGGGAUACAUGAUGUCUAGCUCUGUUCCCCUGCUAGACCCUCCAAACAAGCUCUCAAUAUUGCUGCAUUUGGGAUUGUCUUUCUAACAUAUGAAGUUGGAGGGACACAUUGCAACACAGCACUUUCCAUACUUUUUGUAAUACUAAGUCUAUCUCCGUGACGUGAUGCCUUGGU
rnacentral:snRNA from 1 species